CCUACGGGAGGCUGCAGUGGGGAAUUUUGGACAAUGGGGGCAACCCUGAUCCAGCCAUGCCGCGUGAGUGAAGAAGGCCUUCGGGUUGUAAAGCUCUUUCAGAUGGGAAGAAAACGCUCGGGCUAAUACCCCGAGUGGAUGACGGUACCAUACCAAGAAGCACCGGCUAACUACGUGCCAGCAGCCGCGGUAAUACGUAGGGUGCGAGCGUUAAUCGGAAUUACUGGGCGUAAAGCGUGCGCAGGCGGCUAGAUAAGACAGAUGUGAAAUCCCCG
rnacentral:rRNA from 1 species